rnacentral:rRNA from 1 species
AACGCGAAGAACCUUACCUGGGCUCGAAAUGUAGUGGACCGGGGUAGAAAUAUCCCUUUCUAGCAAUAGACUGCUAUAUAGGUGCUGCAUGGCUGUCGUCAGCUCGUGUCGUGAGAUGUUGGGUUAAGUCCCGCAACGAGCGCAACCCUUAUCUCUAGUUGCCAUCAUUUAGUUGGGCACUCUAGCGAAACCGCCUCGGAUAACGGGGAGGAAGGUGGGGAUGACGUCAAGUCCUCAUGGCCUUUAUGUCCAGGGCUACACACGUGCUACAAUGGCCGGUACAAACCGCUGCAAACCCGUGAGGGGGAGCUAAUCGGAAAAAGCCGGCCUCAGUUCGGAUUGGAGUCUGCAACUCGACUCCAUGAAGCUGGAAUCGCUAGUAAUCGCAGAUCAGAACGCUGCGGUGAAUACGUUCCCGGGCCUUGUA